CUAACGCUGUUUUCCAUAUCUUUCCUGUGAAGGAACAGGUUUUCACAAAACUAUGACAGGGCCUAUAUUCACCCCCAAGCAUUUAGAAAUGCAAAUAAGGUAGGCCAUGGAAGACUGAAUGUGAUUUGCAGCUGUGCUUUGGAGAGCUACCAGUCAAUGCACUAACAGUACACAGCAAAUCAAUUCUCACCUGGGGAAUCAAAAGUUGGUUCUCUGUUGGAAACGGGCAAGACUAAUAAAAACAUGCUUUCUUAUGGGAUACAGAUAUAGGAUAUUAAUGCAUUUAAACUACUAAAAUCUGAAUUUAAUAGAAAAGUCUUCCCCUGUCACACUGAAGACAGUGUCAGCAGUAAUGCACUUGAAAAUUACGAGCACAAAAGGACGAGAUGAAAAGGGCACUACUCCACUGUAGUUGGGUGUUAAACACAAGGGCAGGUUCAAGAACUCACAUUGGGGAUGGACAGAAAAGGUGCAUGACGCCAGGGUGGUAAAGAAACUUAAUUAUGCCCAAGAGUGUUAUUUUCUCUGCACAACUACCAGUAAGGUAACUGGAUACAGGGCAUCCACUAAAGAUUUCCUGUCAUGACUAAUGGUGAACUGUGAUAGAGUUCAACAAGAAGAAAGACCAGAAGUGUUUUCCAUAAAACAGGUAACUGCUGUGACAGACCGCUCUUUCACACUUUCCAGGCCUUCUCCCAGGAGACUAAACUGGUCAUCUGUUCUAAGGAGGAAAUAUGCCAUAACAUUUUAAUUUCCUGGUCUUAUUUGCUAGAUGUGUAGACAGUGAAAGCAGUCUACAUUGGUUUGGUUGAUCACUGGUAGAUGAUACACAAACUGUCCUUUCCAUGAAUGAGGUCCUUGAUUUCUUUUGUUGUUACAGGCUUCCUCCCUUUCAGUGCUUGCCUAUUGCUUUAGAGGAAGACACUAUUACUAUAUGCAUAUAAAAUUCUGCUCAGUAAUAAUCAUGAAAUACAAAACUAACCAACAAACCAACCAACCAAACAAAAACCAACCAAAAAACAAAACAAAACAAAAAACAAAAACAAAAAACAAAAAACCAAAAAAAACCCCAAAAAAACCAAACAAAAACAAACAAAAAAAACCACACCAAAAAACCCAAAAAAACCCCCAAAAAACACAACAAAAAGGGAAUGAAUCUAUCAGUAUAUCAUUCAGCAAAAGAAAAUUAUUAACCCAUUUUUCUGGAUUGGAUGCAAAAGCAAAAUGAUAUUAUAUGUUUAUCUGUAAAAUUAUAUUAGAUGUUUAUCUGAUGAACUCCAAAUAUAUAGCAAAGUUGAGGAUGAGUUCAAAACCUUUCUGUACCUAAGCAGCUCACAUUUACUUUGGCAGAAAUCUAGUCUUUAAAAAAUUUAUCAUUAAUUCUAGGUGAAAAUUAGACAGACUUUUCUAAUGAAAUCUCUUACUGUACACUCUGAGCAUGCCUAUUCUCCUUUAGGAAAUGACCACUGACUGGGGUCGACUAUUCUUUCUUCGUUUUAAUGUUCUUUAAAUUUUCACCUAGUAUGGCUGUUUCAGCAGAUGCCAUAAACUGCUCUACAUUCCAUUUAAUUCACACCCAAAAUUUAAUUCAUAUUAACCUUGGGAGCUGUCUUCUCUAAAGAGGACUCAAAUUCUGUGGCUACUGCUGUGAUGAAUUGGCCAGAAGACUCCAAGCAGUAAGUCGUUGCUUUUCCACACCCAACACUAAUGCAUUAUUUACACGAGAUGCAAAUUGUAAUAGCAUGUGAAAAGACCUGCAGGACCACCUUUGCAGAAGCGUUAGGAGGCACUGCUCAACAAUUUUUCCGUGUCUGGAGCAGGUAAAAAGAGUUUGUAAGCUCCAGCUGAAACGCUUAUCCAAGCGCUUAACUGGCAUUCACCGAGUAUGGGAAAGCAGCUCGGGAAUGGCAAUGUCAAACCCGGGGCUGCCGCCUCGGCUGUGCGCGCCGCCGCCGCGCUGGGAGCACCGGGCACCGCCUGGGAGCCCCGCCAGCCUCCGAGCCCGCUGCCCUCCCUGCCGCGGGCCGAGGCGGCGCCCGGCGCCUGGUUCAGCCGGGGGGCAGCCCCCUUUUCACCAGCGUGGGUGGGGGGACCCAACCCAAGGGCUUGGCUGGGCGCCCGCAGCCUGGCUGACCUCAAAUGCCGCGGCGGUGCGCGGCUUCCGUGCACGCUGCCGGAGCCCACCGCGGGCGGGGCCGGAGACCCCCGCCCCGCUCCCCGCGGCCGGCUGGCAUUGCCUGUCCUGGGCGCCGCCGAAGCCCCGGCACCCCGGGACCGGGCGGGAGGAGCCCCCUGCACGCAGCCCCCGCGCCGGUACCCAGCGCCCCCGCCCCAUGCCCACACCCCUGUCCGCAUCCCCGCCCGCCCCGCUGCCCUCCGCGCUGGCGAGGGGCAGGCUCGCCUUGUUCCUGCCUCCAACUUCCCCCAAGUUAACUCGGGUUUCCCCCGCCCCGCAGGGUCUGCCUGGGCUCCCGGUCCUCCGGGAGGGCGGGACGGAGGGGAAAGGCGUGUCCUGCCUGGACUGCCGCCGCCGCCGCCGCCGUUGGAGGCAGAUCGGAGAUAUAAAAGACCUGGCCGGGGGCCGGCGGGGGCUCCAGUGAGCGCGGACGCUCAGGCCGUGGGGAGGGGGCGCAGCGGGGCGCGGAGCGGCGGCGGCGGGACGGGCGGAGGCAGCGCGGGGCUCGCCGUGGGCAACCCCAAUGCGUGGACUAUCGGCUGCUGCAUUAUGCUGGAGCUACGGUUCCGCUGAAGGGAGUUUGCACACGGCCGGCUGGGCUGGACUGCAGCGCUGCCGUUCCUUAUGAAGAAGGCACAAAAGGAAGCAAGGGACCGACAUGAAUGGAAAACUGUAACAAGAAGCGGCUCAAGGAACCUCUAUCAGGAGAAAGUUUAAGGCUGGACUUCGCAAGGUGCCGAUACCCUCUAUCCGGGAAGACCCCAGCUAGAGCCAGGACUGCUCCGAGAGAGAACAAUGCGUGGACGCGCACACCGCUGCCUCUGCACUGGGGGCUUUUCCCUCCUCCUGCGUUUCUGGGUUAGAAGCAAGAUACUUUUUCCUUCGUCUGUUUCUUGGCAAUUGCUGGGUCACCUACACACCGGUGAAGACACUUCAUGAUACAGUCACUGGAAAAGACAUAAAACAUAUUUGAAAAAAAAAAGUUAAAAUACCUUACCCAAGUAUUCUGGGUAGUUAAAUAAUAUUUCAAGAGAUGAGAGGAAUUAAACAUACUCACUUUCUGAAAUAUUUAAAUUUCACCUGGCCAAAGUACUGGAGAAUGCACUCAUGUUUAAGAACUUAAAACCUGGAGACUUAAUUUUUAGAGAUGCUGAAGUACACCGGGGUUUUAUCUUACAUUAUCAGCCCUGAAUUUUACCGAUAUAUAUCCAUUGCUGUUAUUCACAUUAGAUUACUAUAGAUGCCUUGAACAAAGAUAUUUCAGACCCUGUGUACAUAAUUAUUUAGAUGUGCUGAAUAGAUUGUUAAUUGUGAAGGGUCUCUUAAGGUCUGAGAGCCAUGUUGAUGUUUACGAAUGAGGAUUUAUGAGUGGAAGCAGUCAAGCAUUUCAUUAUAUUUGAACUGUAAACUUACAAAAAUCAACAGACUAUUUUUGCAAAUUCAGAUCAAAGCAGGAGCAGUCCCUCUCUACCAGUAAACUGGGAAAGACAGGCAGUCUUGGCAUUCAAGACCAUAUGGCUUGACUCAGGGGCUCACAAGCUGUAGCCUGUGGAACAGCUUCUUGUCAUGGUGGUGAAGCAUCUGUCAGCCUUCAAGCAGUUAUGCUUCCUGCUUUUUGGAGGCACUGACAGACUCCUAGUUCCCCAAAGGAUUUUCUCCUAUAUUUUAAGGAGUAGCAAGCAAAUGUGAUACCAAAUCAUUAAUCAUUCCAAGGGGAUCAGAGCAGGAGAUACUUCAAGAAGACUUGCCAUUAGAACCAUGAAGACCCCGUGCAAAGAGAGAGAGCAACUGAAGUGUGUUCAAGAAAGAGGACUUAAGCACAUGGGGGCACUUGACACAGUAAAGUAAAUCUUUAUAUGCUCUCCUGUGGCUACUUCUGUCAUUGUCUAGACUGGUAACUGUCACAGUGAAAAGAGCAACAUUGGAAAACCAGGAAAGAAGUUAAUAUUUCUUGCAAUAAAAUAUUCUGCAAUAGACAUAGUACAGAAAGCAAGAACCACACACUCAUUGAGCCUUGCAAACGCUUGGUAAUGCCUGGAUAUUUUUUAAAAUAAAUCGGGGAUUUUGAUCUUUGAGGUGGCGUUGCAUAGUGAUAAUAUAUAAGUAGUGCAGCUGAAGGAGUAGCUGAGUCAUACGUCAGUACAACGAAAGCGCUGAAAGAAAAGUCGUGCUGAGCACUAGAUUCAACUUGAGCAAGUUGGUCCGUUUAUUUAAAUCAGUCUUAACCUGAGAAACCACAGGAGCUGCAGAAGCACAUUCCCCAGGAGUGUCAGUCCUAGAAGUGGUGUUCAUGAAACUCUGUGGUUUGAUGGAUAUAUAACCCCCCUGUUUUAAACAUACCAACACCUGGAUUUUUCUUUUUAAGUCAUGAUUUCUUUAAAGAAGUGAUUAAGCAUUUAGGGUUCAGUCAUACAAAUCCUUUUUCAAUGGGGCUAUUUCCACGAAUUAAUCUUAUUGAGGGAUUACUUGGAUGAGAGGAUUUGUAGGCUUAUAUACUUAGUAAUUAAAACUAUUAUCAGAAGUGAGUUUAUGUCCUUUUGCAUGCUAAUAUGACAACAAAUAAAAUGUCACUGAUGCCUGGACAGCCUUUUACAAUUUGAAUAAAACAGGGUGAGUGAUGCCAGUGUGAUAUGAUCUUGCAAAAACUUGUACCAGUUUUCUGAUUCGCUUGUUCUUUGUGUGAUUUGAAGGCAACCUAAAUAGGAUUAAGUUACUAAGAAAUAUGUUGCAGCGAGGGUUCACCUAUGGGGUAGCUCUGUAGCUGAUAAGGUAUCACAGAUACACGGUUCAGGCACUUGAUCUGCGGUGAGUUAGAUGCACAUCCUCUUAGAAACCGCAGUACUAAAAGUGUUAGAUUUCAGCACAGCUUUCUGCCUCUGAACGUGUGCAUUAUUGCUGGGGGUUAAAUUACCAUCUUAGGCUGUCCUAUCUGUAUGUUUGUGUCACUAAAGUAGAGACCUGUGUAGAAAUCAUUGUGGACCAGUACCUGGAAAAAGAAUUAGUACUCAAAUUGGCACUUCUAGUCUCAUACCAGCAGGCUAAGUCAGGAAUGCAAAUCAGAUACCUGAUACCUUGGUGUGACCUUGUUUUAGGGGAAAUAGUGACUUCUGAUCAUCAGUCUUUCAUGUUCAUUCUGCAAAAAAAUGAACACUAGGCACUGGAAGACAUUUGGAGCUCAUGGCAGGUAUAGAUCUGCUGCUCAUUAAAUAGAAAAAGAGAAUUUGCUGGAGCCAGAAGGAUCCUGUGUAUUCAUGUUAAGCAAUGGACUAAGGUCUCCUCUGUUCCCCUGUUUUUGACUCUGCUCAGGGGAAGCCAGUCUGCAAGUACUGCAGCUGGAAAGGACAUCCUGGAAUAAAGAGCUGUAUGGAGAAUAAACAGCAGAGGACCUGAAAGAUUCAGGGGUGGGGGAGCAUUUUGUGAGGCAUGUUUAGUGAUCUUUUUAUUUAUUUCUUUUCUUCACUUGCUUUUAUUAUGCGCCUGCAAGUUUUUAUCUCUGUGAACUAUUUGGCACUUGGCUUUGUCAUUUAAAGUGAGGCCAGUAACCCAGUCUUCUCCUGACCCAGUUCUGCCAUUGCACUGAAAUCCAGUUUUUCCCUAUAUGCACUGCAUGUCAGUCCUUCAGGUACGGUUCUGCAAGCUGACAGUGGCGUUCUCCAAGUUUUGUUAUGUGAUUUAAUGGCAUGCUGGCUCAUGUAAUCGCCAUAUUGUAUGAAAGUUAAGAGUUGGCAAGAUGCAGCCCUUGGCUUCAGAUGGGCAAUGCUCAGUAUGCAGUAUGUAAACACAACACUCAUUUAUUAGAAGCAAAGGAAGGAAAAAUCUCCCUACGCAAUUCCAUUUGAGUGUUGUGGGAGCUGACAUGAAAAUGAAAGUGCUUGUUCUCGCCCUGGUCUUUGGUGUGCCAAACCUGAAAUUAGUCAGCCUUUUAAACAUACUAUAAAACUGCUUCUUUUUUAUUGGUUGUGCUUUUCUCCAUGUGUUUGUGGGAAAAGGAGAUGGAUGAAUGUAAGGUGAGUGGCAAAGGGUAGCGCUUCUCUUUAAUUUUAUUUUUUGGCCCAUGUUUGUAUUGUCAACCCAGUCAUAUGUAAACCUGCAAAACUGACUUUUUGUAAAUAUUACUG